UGCGUGAGGUUUCACCAUUUC
rnacentral:piRNA from 1 species